AUUCUACUUCCUCCGUUCGGAAUUACUUGUCACAAAAAUGGAUAAAAAUGAAUGUAUCUACAACUAAAAUACAUCUCAAUACAUUCAUUUUUUGGACGAGUAAUUCCGAACGAAGAGAGUAUUAC
rnacentral:pre_miRNA from 1 species